UACUUGUAUACAAGCUGAUGACGUCGAAUGAUACCAAUAUCGUUUUCUCGUUUAUAUUUGUAGAAAACGAUAUUGGUAUCAUUCGACGUCAUCAGCUUGUAUA